rnacentral:rRNA from 1 species
CCCUUAGAUGUUCUGGGCCGCACGCGCGCUACACUGACACGUUCAUCAAGUCUACAACCUUGACCGAGAGGUCUGGGUAAUCUUUUAAAAACGUGUCGUGCUGGGGAUAGAUUAUUGCAAUUAUUAAUCUUCAACGAGGAAUUCCUAGUAAACGCAAGUCAUCAACUUGCAUUGAUUACGUCCCUGCCCUUUGUACACACCGCCCGUCGCUACUACCGAUUGAAUGAUUUAGUGAGUACCAGGGACCGAGCGCUUUGGUUGGGUUUCCUUCCCUAGCGCUUGGGAACUGUCGCAAACUUGACCAUUUAGAGGAAGUAAAAGUCGUAACA